rnacentral:rRNA from 1 species
CCUACGGGGGGCAGCAGUGAGGAAUAUUGGUCAAUGGACGAGAGUCUGAACCAGCCAAGUAGCGUGAAGGAUGACUGCCCUAUGGGUUGUAAACUUCUUUUAUAUGGGAAUAAAAUGUUUCACGUGUGGGAUUUUGUAUGUACCAUAUGAAUAAGGAUCGGCUAACUCCGUGCCAGCAGCCGCGGUAAUACGGAGGAUCCGAGCGUUAUCCGGAUUUAUUGGGUUUAAAGGGAGCGUAGGUGGAUUGUUAAGUCAGUUGUGAAAGUUUGCGGCUCAACCGUAAAAUUGCAGUUGAAACUGGCAGUCUUGAGUACAGUAGAGGUGGGCGGAAUUCGUGGUGUAGCGGUGAAAUGCUUAGAUAUCACGAAGAACUCCGAUUGCGAAGGCAGUUCACUGGACUGCAACUGACACUGAGGCUCGAAAGUGUGGGUAUCAAACAGGAUUAGAUACCCCUGUAGUC